rnacentral:rRNA from 1 species
AGAGUUUGAUUCUGGCUCAGGAUGAACGCUGGCGGCGUGCCUAAUACAUGCAAGUCGAACGGGAGUGCUUGCACUCCAGUGGCGAACGGGUGAGUAACACGUAGGUAAUCUAGCAUUAAGACGAGGAUAGCUUCUAGAAAUGGGAGAUAAUACUGGAUAGGAAAUUUUCCUGCAUGGGGAAAUUUUUUAAAGAUUUAUCGCUUAAUGGGGAGCCUGCGGUGCAUUAGCUAGAUGGUGAGGUAACGGCUCACCAUGGCGAUGAUGCAUAGCCGGUCUGAGAGGACGAACGGCCACAUUGGGACUGAGAACGGCCCAAACUCCUACGGGAGGCAGCAGUAGGGAAUUUUCGGCAAUGGGCGGAAGCCUGACCGAGCAACGCCGCGUGAUUGAAGAAGUAUUUCGGUAUGUAAAAAUCUUUUAUUUGGGACGAAAAAAUCAAAAUUGACGGUACCAAAUGAAUAAGCCCCGGCUAACUACGUGCCAGCAGCGGC